UUUCUCAUGACUUUCAAAACAGUUUCCAAAAUGCAGCCACGGUCACAUACUUCCCUGCUUGUAUUUCUGUUGUGUGCCUGGCUUGGGUUGGGAGACAGUGAUGGAAAGAUUUAGUUCUGUUCUCAGGGGUCUGCAAGCAAUGUGUGUGGGAGGUGAGUUUCUCCCAGGCAACCUGAUUCCCCUCAUGGCUCCAUCUUCUGGUCUCCCUUAUGACACAAAUCACCUUAUCACAUAUCACAAAUAGGUGGGUAGUAUGUCACAUGUCUACCCAAAGCACUAAACGUCUUUCUAGACUUCCUCCCUUGCAAGAAUAGUGAGCUCAUUCCGGCAUUCAGAAAACCCGCUAGACGCCUAUAGAAAAGGAGUAACCUCGGGUAAAGCUUAAGGAAGGUCUGAGGAUAAUCUUUAGACCUCUUGACCAAAUGGCAAUGCUUCUAGCACAUAGUCAAGCUAUGGCAGGUUGUCAUGGCAACUGUAGAACAUGGACACAUAUGGGUACCACCAGGUGAGGGCAUAAAAAGAGAAAACCCUGAUGUGAGCAGAGAGCAGUUCACAGAACCUGUUAAGUGGUAAGGCUAUAUAUGUCAGAGCUUCCCAUGAGGGUCAGGCCCAAGGAAGGGAUACCGCAAGUCUCUGUGUAGGAGUAUCCGAGGGAGUGGGAUUGCAAAGAAAAUAAUGAUGAGCAGAAAAAAAAUGAGUCUUGGAGGAUGGGGAGGCUAGAGGUGGUCGGAACGAAUUCCAGAACUUGGCUGGGUGGCUAAAUGCUAUCAUCAGUGUGCUUGCCAUGCAUGUGGGAGGGAGGCGGAGUGAUUUGUUUAAAGGAUUUGGUUCAGGCAGGAUAUGCUGAAGGCAGUAGAUUAUUUUAUGAUGCAGGGCUGUGUUUUGAUUCUAGAGUGUUUGUUUGAUUGGAAACAGACAAGGCUAAUGGUUAUCAAAGUUAAAACCCUCACUGGGAGUUUGGUUUGGUUCACUGAAAAAGUCAGGAGCUAGAACCCAGACACUGUUGAUUUGGAAUGUAUCCACAACGUAGCACGAGGAUAUAUGUAGGACAUGAAGUCUUCCUUCCUCGGCACAUGCAAGGGCACCCAGCUCUUGGACACAGAUAAAAACCUAAAUCAUGCACUACUCAAAGUGACACAGGCUCACUCACUCGGGUGACUCGCUACGUGGUGGGGAGAAAGUAUUAAUGUCACUUCCUCCUCUCCUCUCUCCCUCCAGCUAUUAAAAAGAAUUUCGUUUUGGCUGACUCCAUUUCUCUCCCUUCCUUGCCUUUUAAAGAAAGUCCGGCAUUUGCCAGUCCAAUAGCUAGGACCUUUAUGAUAGAAAUGUGAAAAACUAAAGAGGAAAAGCCAGCUUGGAGGAAACCAUUACCACAGAACUACAGGACUCUGAGCUUGUGCUGAUCUUGCAGUCAACCGAAGGCAAAAAGUUCCAAGAAACGCAUCAGUCUGCCCACGCCGCUGUCCUGUCUGCACCUCUCCACUCAAGCCGCUCGAAGCCUUGGGCAGAUUCUGACUGCGACCAGUUCAAAUUUGGUUUUGUGUCUUGCAACCCAAAGACUCCUGACAGACAUAUGCUCGGGCUCCUUCUGGAUCCAGGAAAUCACGAGGAAGCACACGGUCAUUCUACAUCUCCCUUCCAUCAAUACUUGCGGUCUGAGUAAUCUGGAGGGCACAUGUAGCCUAGAAGUGAGAUGGUGGAGCAGGGGCAUCAGGCUGCCCACUUCUGCAAAAGCACAGCUGGGGGCAGACUGUUGAAGUCCAUGCAAACAGAAAGCAGAAAGAGGCCAGAUCAACUCAGGCCCAAUAAAAGUUGGAGUCGACAUUAGGUUAACUUAAUUUCAAUAAAUACGCCUUGGGGUUGUUCCUAAAAAAACUCUGUGUGUG